rnacentral:rRNA from 1 species
CCUACGGGUGGCAGCAGUGAGGAAUAUUGGUCAAUGGACGAGAGUCUGAACCAGCCAAGUAGCGUGAAGGAUGACUGCCCUAUGGGUUGUAAACUUCUUUUAUAAAGGAAUAAAACGAGGCACGUGUGCCUUGUUGCAUGUACUUUAUGAAUAAGGAUCGGCUAACUCCGUGCCAGCAGCCGCGGUAAUACGGAGGAUCCGAGCGUUAUCCGGAUUUAUUGGGUUUAAAGGGAGCGUAGAUGGGUUGUUAAGUCAGUUGUGAAAGUUUGCGGCUCCACCGUAAAAGUGCAAUUGUUACUUGCAGUCUUGUGUACAGUUGCGGUAGGCGUACUUCGUGUUGUAGCG